CACAGUGGUAAUAUAAUAUUUUGUAUUGAUUGCUUCAAUGCUUUUAGCCAGGUCUUAAUGAGAAAUUAAAAUGCAUAAAGCAACAUUCAAUGUUGGAAGUUUCUUUGAUUAAUAUUCAGGUUCAAGGUUAGGAAAUCAAUCAAAGAGACUGCCUUAAUUCUCUCUAAUGAUGAUGUUGAUGGUGGCAGGGCUUGGCAAGGCGAGGUGUAGGCUCGAUGCAUGGAGGUGGGACUGUGGGGAUGGUGUUGUAACAGCGGGGACUUCAAUGCGACUAGGGUACCGUUGCCGUGAAGAAAAUGGUUUAUUUUGAUUACAUCCCCACUUAUCUAAAAGGCUAAGCUUCUAUGGAGGGGUGCUGAGUGUUGGAAUGAGUGUUUAAAGCUUUUGGGCGUUGCUGAAGCAGCAGAAGCAUCAAUGGAUUCUGACCAGUUAAGCUCUGGAAUUUCAGAUUUUGAUACUCACUUUCAAGGCCUCAUAGUUCAGAAAAGGUCUCUUUCUCUCUCUCUCUCUCUCUAUAUAUAUAUUUAUAUAACUGCAGUUGUCUCAACUUAUUUCUAUAUUCUAUUCCAUAUUUGUCAUUUGUGAAAUGUUCAGUUUUAACUAGUGUGAAGUAUAUGGUUGUUGUUGAUGAAUGGAAUGCACUAGUACAUAAUGGAAAACUAGGCGAAUAAUGCAUUCCACUAUAUUUUUUUACCAGUUAUUAUUUUUUGUUUUUAGUUUCCCUUUAUUUGAAAAUAAACAACAACUUAAGCUAUGAAACUGUUUUUUUUUACAGAAUAUACUUUUUCUCCCUUCUCCCUUCUUUGAACAUUCUUUGUUUCAUGUACAAACCUUGUUGUUUCUUUUUCAUAGUUUAGUUAGCAAGAGAGUAAAUAAAAGGUUGUGCUAUUUAUGAUUGUUGUAGUUUAAUUUGAUGAAUGUGUAUAUAUGUCUAUUUGCUAACUCAGGUAGCUGGAAUUUAUAGUGGUUAUCUCUUGUUUAUUUCUCUGAAUUGGUAUAUUUUUUGAGUUAUUUUAUUUUGUUUCUUAGUCAUUGAGUUGUUAUAAUAUAUGGCUUGAGUGUAUUCUAGUUUCUUGUUUGGCCUUUUAUUUUCUUGAGUUAUUUGAUUCCUUCUAGCUUUUCCUUUAUUUUGAAGUUGUUUAGAGAGCAAUAUAAGGGAAUUAUUUUCUAAGU